AGCGGGGUAGUCCAAAUGGCAGAGACACGAGUCUCAUAAGCUCGUCUAGUGCAAGUUCGACUCUUGCCCCCGCUCCCA
rnacentral:tRNA from 1 species